AGCAGAUGAAAGGAGUCUGGGAAGAUUAGGUACCGGUCCCGCAUGGAGUCAGUCAGUAGCAAGAAAAGAAGGUCAUCACUUGAAAGCUAAAUCACGAUCAGCUAAACGUUUUGGAAUGGGCACAAUCACACUGCUGAACAGUCACCAACAAUGGUAGCACAGGCAGUUGUGGUUGCUGCUCUAGAUGAAGCAGACAAGUUACCAUUCUGUCCCUACUGGCGAAACACGACCAGUAGAUUGAUUCACUAGGGUUAACUCACAAUACGAGAAGAAACAAGGAAAGAACAUGCACAAAGAAAAGUCUAACAUUAACUAACUCUAAAGUUUCCCUUGAAUUGCAUCGAAAAUCAAGUUUCACAUCAAUAGAUGAAGCAUCAAUCACCUGUUCAUUGCUCUUAUCUUCAGCAUACUGCCAUUCGCCUAAUCGGUCAGGUGCUUUACGAAUCCUUGUGGGAAGUCUGGCAACAUUAUCCAAUGCAUCACUACAAGCUUCAAAAGAACUUGUGGAAUGACUACACGUAGCUACUGCUGAACACGGUUGACCAUCAUUCACUUCAACUGAAGAAAGUUGUGCACCAUUCAAUUCCUCAUUGAAAACCACCUUAUGAAAAGACCACCAAUAAUACACAAUAACAAAAACAUAACAAUAGACAUAUUACCUGUGCUACACCAUAUUUACUAUGACUGGAUCCACUAGUAAAUUAAGUGUUUUCAGACUUCUUGGAAUCUUUUUUCGAUACCAGACCUUUCUUUUUGUGGAUUUUCCUUUCCAAAACAACAAAACAUAACAAAACUAAUAAGUGCCACUGUGAUUCAAGUCCACACUUGUUUACAAAAUUAUCGGAAAUGCAACAAACAAACAAAAUCUACCGUGGGACGUUUCCAUAUUGCGUAUUUAUAUGAAUCAUGGUAUGAACCCCUGACCAGCAUGACCUUGUCACAAAAUUAGAUACUUAAGUACUUACGAAAGGUUUGUUCAAGUAAGGAAUACAACACAAUCUUUGUAAUAAAAUAUCCGCAUCAUAAUACGAAAUCACAUGUAACAAACUCAAAACACGGCAAAUUAAAAAAAAAUUAAAAUUAUUGGAAAAGGCGAUAAUUUGCCUUAGAACAAAAGCGACAUUUCGAUUUAAAAAAACCAUAACGUAGACAAGACAUAUUAAUGCGGAAAGAUUUUAACACACUAUAGGGUAACAAAUCCAUAGGGUAUCGACGGGAAAAAUUGUCUAACUCCAAACGACAAUCAUCUCCAUGAAGAAACAAAGUAUUCAAAAUAGGAGAACAAUCCAAAUGAAUUUUUACAAUCCGAACCGACCACAAAUUUAUUUUCACUGUAUCUGGCUGUUUGUCUUGGGACAUUUCCUUGGCUUCACGAAAAAUUACAUCCGAUUCUUCGCUCAAAAGGCUUAGUCGAUGCAGUGAAACCCGACUUACACCGUCAUAAUUUGACUGAAAAAGCAAGCCAAUCUACAAAACAAAUAACAACAUUUAGCAAAUAGGGCUACAGUAUUUUAAAAAAUUCCAAUACGAUACAUACUUCGACUUCGACUUCUGGAUGCAACUCGUAACGAUCCAUAUACUUCAGAAGUCGAUUACUUCCGCAACGAUAAUAACUUUCAAUGACGCGAAUAUUUUCAGAUGUCAACCCGCAAAACUCCACAUUUUUUUAAAUUUCAUCGCUAAAUUCACGACCUUCGUCUUCCGACAUGAUACGCAAAAAUUCAGAGCAAACGAGGAAGCCGUGGCAAUCAAUUUCAACGCUUGCGACAAAAACAACUAACUGAUUUCAUUUUUAACAUUCUAAUACUCCAUCCAAACAUAACAAAAACGACUCUUGCAUAUUCCCAGCAAGACGAACCAACCUUGUAUUAUUCAAGGUA